CUAAAAAUCUAGCUCACAUUUCAUUUUAAGUUAGUUUACUAUAAAACAAGAAUAAAAAAAAAAGCAUUCCUUUAUUUAUUUAUGCAAUUUGUAGUUUUGAAGUUUUUGAGAAUUCACCCUCUCGCUCAAUAACAAAAGGUGAAGCUGACCCCUCUUUUCUCCUCUCCACUCCGGCUCCCUGACAGAGAAACAAAUCUAAGAUGGCUGAUGAUAAAGUAUUGUGGUUUGAGAAGGUAGGCUGCAAGUGCCAGGACUUCAUUUGUGUCAGGCGCUCCAUGAUAGUAAUGAAUUUCUGUGGUGAACCUGAGACUGAGAGAAACAGAAUCUGGUGAGUGGUACGUGCAAGCAGUACUAGUCAAUCUCUGCAAUCCCUUUUAGAUUUUAUCUGCACAGUCCUGUCAUUCCCUAUCAUCGCCAUACCACAUACUUGUGUCAUGCUUACAAAGUAUCACUCUCAUUUUUGCUUUUUCCAGCUUGGCCAAUGAUCAUCUACCCUCCCAAAUCACUCUCGAACCUACAUUUUAGACAAAGCAUGUGUGAUCGAAAGACUUCAAAAGGUGGAAUCGGAGCAGCGGAGAAGGCUUAAUUGCUCCCAGUGAGUGAUGCCAGAGGACUUGAUUAGACCCCGGACCACUUCUCAUGUUCUUCAUUUGUGCGGCGACGACCUUCCGCGGUGAUGGGCUCAAGAGAGAAACAUGAUCUAUUGGUGAGCAAGUGAUGUAAUGCUAAAUUUCUCUAAAUCUGUUCAGAUAAAGAAACAAACUCAUCUUGGAUGGCCUGGGGGGCUGACAGACCCUGGACCCCACUCCAUUACCCUUGGGAGCCUGGCAGUUACAUGUAGACAUGUGUAUCAGAUCACAUAGGAGAGGAUUUGGAGGGAGAAAGCAAGAUGGAGUAUAUAAAAAAGAGAGAGGUGGGCAGUGAAGUGAGUCAGUGAAUAUUUUGUAGGAGCUGAGACUUCUCCCACAAGUACUGAGCAAUAUUACCUUUCAUAGAAACUGUGACAUGUUAGCUGAACAAAUAAUAUUCCUGGAAUUUAUUUUAUUUUUUUACAUGCCUUUACAUGAAAACAUUUGACCAAAAAUGAAGGUUUAAAGUUAUAAUGCCUUAAUUAUGCAUUUGUUUAUUACAAACAUGCAGCAACUGAUGGACUGGAGUUAUGUGAAUUACUUGUGUAUUUUUGUGGUUUUUAUCAGCUGUUUGAACUUUCAGUCUGAUGGCACCCAUUCACUGCAAAGGAUCCUUUAAUGAGCAAAUGAAGAAAUAGACUCCUCUACAUCAUGAAUGACCUGAAAGUGAUUACAUUUUCAUCGAUUUUUCAUUUUUGGCUAAACUAUUCCUGUAAUGUUUCUUAUUAUGUUUAAGAUUUUGAUAUUCUCAUACUGAAAUAGAGGCUUAUUUUGAUCAACCUCACCUUGAAU
ensembl:lncRNA